GACGAACGCUGGCGGCGUGCUUAACACAUGCAAGUCGAACGGAAAUGACCUGCUUUUGUGGUGUGCUCGAGUGGCGAACGGGUGAGUAACACGUGAGUAACCUGCCCUUGACUUUGGGAUAACUUCAAGAAACUGGGGCUAAUAGCGGAUAGAAGCUCCUGCUGCAUGGUGGGGGUUGGAAAGUUUCGGCGGUUGGGGAUGGACUCGCGGCUUAUCAGCUUGUUGGUGGGGAAGUGGCUUACCAAGGCUUUGUCGGGUAGCCGGCCUGAGAGGGUGACCGGCCACCUUACGACUGACAUACGGCACAGAGUAGUACGGGAGGCAGCAGAGGGGAAGAUUGCACGAUGGGCGGAAGCCUGAUGCAGCAACGCCGCGUGCGGGAUGACGACCUUCGUGUUUUAAACCGCUUUCGCCUGUGACUAAGCGUGAGUGACGGUAACGGGUAAAGAAGCACCGGCUAACUACGUG
rnacentral:rRNA from 1 species